rnacentral:lncRNA from 1 species
UCAAGUUUUUCAGCUGUUUUCUGUCAUUUCCAUUAAGAGAUUGAAUUAAACUAAUCUAGCCAAAAGUCACACACCACAAGGAACAAAAUGAACUAUGAACUUGAAAAUAGCAAGUCUAUUAUGAAUAAAGCAGGCUUGACUUUGCAAUCAAGUCAACAAGAGAGGUGUAUGUCAAUGUAUUAAGCUAAAACUUGAUUGGAUUGAUUUCCAGAAGGCAGAAUAUAAUGCAUCAGAUAAAAUUAACUAAAAACAUUACUGUUUUAAGCAUAGUUUUUCUUCAAAUAUACAAUCGUGGGGUAGGAGAUCUUCAUGGUUGGCACUCAUCUAUUUAUAGAUUAAAGAUAAGAUUAAAGGAUCUUCAUCAUGCUAAGAGACUUGCAAGACAAUCAAAUGACAUUUAAAAGUGUACAGUAUUGAAAUUUCAAAACAAAGAAAUAACUAUAUAUUCCUACAUUCAGCUAGUCCUUUCUAUCAAUAUUUUGACAAAAAAA